AGAGUUUGAUCAUGGCUCAGAUUGAACGCUGGCGGUAUGCUUAACACAUGCAAGUCGAACGGAAACGAUACUAGCUUGCUAGUAGGCGUCGAGUGACGGACGGGUGAGUAACGCGUAGGAAUCUACCUAGUAGCGGGGGAUAGCCCGGAGAAAUCCGGAUUAAUACCGCAUAAUCUCUAUGGAGAAAAGGGGCCCUCUUCUUGAAAGGUUUCGCUAUUAGAUGAGCCUGCGUAAGAUUAGCUUGUUGGUGAGGUAAAAGCUCACCAAGGCGACGAUCUUUAGCUGGUCUGAGAGGAUGAUCAGCCACACUGGGACUGAGACACGGCCCAGACUCCUACGGGAGGCAGCAGUGGGGAAUAUUGGACAAUGGGCGCAAGCCUGAUCCAGCAAUACCGCGUGUGUGAAGAAGGCCUGAGGGU
rnacentral:rRNA from 1 species